GAAAAUUGUGUGACAUUGCAUUAAAAAGCUUUUAGACCGCUCUUUGGAUACAAAAUGCAGUUUUCGUGUAACUUUUCUCUCUCCAAGCUAGUGGAGAAUAAGGCAAUGAUGUUUGUACUUUAGGGCAGACUGGGAGUUAUUGUUACAGAAUCCAAAUCCAGCCAAGCAAGAAUUGGGUACAAGUUAUUCAUUUCAAUUGUGUCUUUUAUACUGUACUUUUUAAAAGAUUGAUGUUUCCUUUUACCAAGAAUUAGCUGCUAUUCAUAUAUUUUAUUCAAUUACAGUUAUUAUGUCCUGUUGAAUUUUUUUUCACUACUCCUACCACUGUCCUUUCAGUAUUCGCAAAAAAGCUCUUACAAUAUUCCAUUCUGUGAGAAGUUUCGACCAAAAAGUGAGUGUAACUCUGAUAACACUUAUUUAUAGAGCAGUUGGCUUUGAUGAACAAUGAACUGUUACUUGAUUUUACUCUUGGUUCAAGGACAUCCACAAGUGCUGUCAAAUUGAAAGCACACAAGUCACCUUCCUAAAGAGAAGUUUUCUCAUGCCGUUUGCAAUGGAUUCCUUUCCUCCUGUCUCUACACUCCAGCCCCAGGCAACCAACGAUCUGCUUUGUCACUGUGGAUUAGUUUGUUUGAUUUAGCAUUUUAUAUCAAAGAAAUCAUAGAGUCUGUAUCUUUUUUUGUCUUGCUUCUUUCACUCAGCAUAAUUAUUUUGAGAUUUAUUGUGUUGUAGCAUGAAUAAGUAGUUAAUUUAUAUCUACUGGUGUGAAGUAUUCUAUUGCAUGGAAACAACACAAUUUAUGUAUCUAUUCACACAUUGAUGUACUUGGCAAGUAAAGUUGCUAUGUGGUGUUAUAAUUUGCAUUUUCCUAGUGAAUAAUGAUGUUCAGCAUCUUUUCAUAGAUUAGUUGGUCAUCCAGCUACUUUGGGGAAGUAUCUGCUCAAAUAUUUUGAUUAUUUUAAAAAAUUGGAUUGUUUGAUUUUUAGUAAGUUUCAGUAAACAUUUGAGUUUUUAGAAUUGUUUAUGCAUUUGGUAUACAGGCCCUUUGUGAGAUAUGUGAUGUGCAAAUAUUUUCUCCCAGUCUGUGGCUUGUCUUUUCAUUCUCUUUCAAUGACUUUCAAAGUGUUAUUUUUAAUUGUAAUGAAGUCCAACUCAUUAAUUUUUUUGUUAUGGUUUGUGUUUUCAUUGACAUAUCAAUAAAAUCUUUGCCUAAUUUCAUGCCAUAAAGAUAUUUUUCCUGUAUUUUCUCCCUGAAGAUAUAUAGUAUUUUGUUUUACAUUUAGGUCUAUUACUCAUGUUGAUCCAAUUUGAGUUAAUUUCUGUAUAUGGUAUGAGGUAUUAAGAGAGUUCAUUUUUUACAUGAAUAUUCAAUAACUAUAGCACUAUUCAUUCAAAAGAUUAUCCUGUGUGCACUGAAUUGCUUUAUAAAAACUCAGUUGUUCAUAUAUUUAUAUGUCUGUUUCUAGACUCUUAGUUGUUUCAUUUAUCUGUCUGUCUUUACACAAGUGCCACACUCUAUGAUUAAUGUAGUUUUAUAAUAAGCCUUGAACCUAGGUAGCAUUAUUCCUGUAACUUUAUUUUUCAAAGUUGUUAUGACUCUUUAUAUAAGCUUUAUAAAUGGCUUUUUGAAUUUCCAUAUGAAUUUUGAAAGUGGUCUGUCAUUUCUAUUAAAAAGAAGACAAAAACCCCUGGGAAUUUUAUUAAGAUUGCAUUAAAUCUAUAGGUCAAUUUAAGAAGAAUUGACAUUUUAAAACUAUUAAGAUUUCUAAUUCAUGCACAUAGUAUCUCUUUGCUUAUCUAAGACAUAAUUUUUUCAACGUUUUGUAGUUUUCAGUGUAUUAGUCCUUUACAUGUUUCCAGAAAUUUUUCCUGUUUCACUUAUUUCUAGUUUCUAAAGGUAGAAGUUGAGAUAAUUGAUUUCAGAUCUUAUUUCUUUUCUAAUGCAGAUCUUUCACACUAUAAAUUACUGAUUUAGUGGCAUGCAUAAAUUUCAGUAUGCUGCAUUUUUAUUUUUAUUUAAAAAUUAUUUGUAAUUUAUUUUUUAUUCUUCCUUUGACUCCCUCACCGUUCAGUUUUUAGAAGUACUUUAGCUAGUUCUCUCUCUCUCAAUUUUAUUUAAUUUCAUUGUGAUCAAAAAAUAUACUUUGAAUAACAAAUUUUUUUAAGUUUAUAAAGAUUUAUUUUCUGGUUAAGAAUAUAGUCUAUUUUGGUGACUAAUUCAUGAGCCCCUGAAAAUAAGGCAUAUUUUCAGUUUUAAAUAAAGUGCUAAAUGCCAGUUAUGUCAAUUUGGUCUCCUAAAUGCCAAUUAUGUCAAUUUGGUUUAUGAUAUUGUUUGGCUGUUCUCUCAUGUAUCUUUAUUGACUCUCUAUCUACUUAUCAAUUAUUGACACAGGAGUAUUUAAAUUGCCAACUAUAAUUAUGGAUUUAUCAAUUUCUCCUUCCAGUUCUAUCAGUUUAUACUUUAUGUAUUUUGAAAUUUUGUUGAAUUCUAGGUGGUAAAGCCCAUUAUCACUCAAAUUACGAUCAAAUGACCCAGUUUCUUGGGAAUGCUAACAUUCUUGAAUUUACAUUUUCUAUUGCUAUGCCUCCAAAUUAAUCGCCCCAUAUAAAGAGAUGCUUAGGCUGAGAGUAUGCCCAGGAUGGAAAGAGGAGACAAACACACGAAGUACCCAAUAGCAUUGUCUUCAAAGGACAGGCUCUGAUAGCCGCUGGAGGUGGCAUUGAAGAUUUAAUUUGGAAAGAUGUCAAGAAAACAAAGGAUUUCUCUCUGACCUCCUUUCCCCAAUGGAAAAGAUGAUAUCACUUCGAAGUUUCUUCUAAAACAAAGAAUAACUUUUCAAAAGUUUCCUUUGAAAUUGGAGUCAGUAAAGCUGAACAAAAAUAUCAUAAACACACCUAAUCUUUGUCCACUUCCCAAGCCUGUCCCAAUUUCUGAUGAAUGCUACACUCAGAACCAUUUCUCAUAUAAAGAGAACAUUUGCUAUUUAUUGGAAAAAGUUCCAUUUUUUUGACAAUGUACUGUAAUUCCUUGGGAGUAGGCUCCUAAAUUGUCAAUCUUGGCAUAUGAAAAAUUCAAACGAAUUAACAAUAAAAUUGUUAUAUUAGUCUGUUCUCACACUGCUGUGAAGAAACAUCAGAGACUGGGUAACUUAGAAAGGAAAGAGGUUUACAUGACUCACAGUUCUGCGUUGCUGGGGAGGCCUCAGAAACUUACAAUAAUGGCAGAAGGCAAAACAGAAGCAGGCACCUUACUCACAGUGCAGCAGGAUGGAAUAAGUGCAAGCAAGGGAUACGCUGGAUGCUUAUAAAACCAUCAGAUCUCCUGAGAACUCACUCACUAUCAUGAGAACAGCAUGGGGGAACCGCCACCAUCAUCCAAUUACCUCCACCUGUUCCCGCCCUUGACACAUGGAGAUUAUGGGGAUUACAAAUCAAGGUAAGAUUUGGGUGGGGACCCAAAGCCAAACAAUUAUAUAAACAAAGAAAUGGAAUUUUUCAGAUUAUUUUCUUCAAUUAAAUUAUAUAAAGUAUAUGAAGAGAAGAAUAUGCUAUAUCUUAUUUUCAGGAUAAGUCUACAAUAUUCAUUUUAUAAAUUAAAGAGUUAAUGUUUUCAUUCAAAUUGUCAUAACAAUCCAAAUAUAGGCUACCAAGAAAUAAACCUAAUAACAUAUAAGCAAGAGUUUAGCCAACACACACAGACACACACACACACACACAAAGACACACACACACACAUUAAUAAAACACAUGGAGGAAGAUGCAGAUUUGUGGAGAAACAUGCCAUGUUAAUAGUUGUUAAGAGAGAUACAGUAAUAAUAUUGAUAUCACCAAAUUGAUUUGUAUAUUAAGCAUAAUUUCAAUAAUUCCAGUAUAUAUGGAAGAACAAAUAACCAGGGAGAAUCAUGACAACGUAAAGAAUAAGAUUUCAGAAGGGAGACUUGCCCCAUAGGAUUUAUUCAUGUCCAUUACACAGAUCAAUCCCAAAUGGAUAAAUAAUAUAAUUAUAAAAUGAUUUCUAGGAGAAUGUCAAAGUAUCUUUAGGGGAGAG
rnacentral:lncRNA from 1 species